GACGAACGCUGGCGGCGUGCUUAACACAUGCAAGUCGAACGGUGAAGCGCCUUCCUUUUUGGUGGGUGUGGAUGAGUGGCGAACGGGUGAGUAACACGUGAGUAACCUGCCCCCUUCUUCUGGAUAACCGCAUGAAAGUGUGGCUAAUACGGGAUAUUCUGGGUCUGUCGCAUGAUGGGUCUGGGAAAGAUAUUGUUUCGGUGGGGGAUGGGCUCGCGGCCUAUCAGCUUGUUGGUGGGGUGAUGGCCUACCAAGGCGGUGACGGGUAGCCGGCCUGAGAGGGUGGACGGUCACACUGGGACUGAGACACGGCACAGACUCGUACGGGAGGCAGCAGUGGGGAAUAUUGCACAAUGGGCGCAAGCCUGAUGCAGCGACGCCGCGUGAGGGAUGGAGGCCUUCGGGUUGUGAACCUCUUUCGCCAGUGAAGCAGGCCUGCCUCGUUUGUGGGUGGGUUGACGGUAGCUGGAGAAGAAGCGCCGGCUAACUACGUG
rnacentral:rRNA from 1 species